rnacentral:rRNA from 1 species
AUUGAACGCUGGCGGCAGGCCUAACACAUGCAAGUCGAGCGAGCGGCGGACGGGUGAGUAAUGUAUGGGGACUGCCCGAUAGAGGGGGAUAACUCCUGGAAACGGUAGCUAAUACCGCAUACGAUCGGAUAACCCAUAUGGGAUUAGCGAGUAGGGGGGGUAAUGGCUCACCUAGGCGCCGGUCCCUAGCUGGUCUGAGAGGAUGAUCAGCCAACCUGGGACGGAGACACGGCCCAGACUCCUACGGAGGCAGCAGUGGGGAAUAUUGCACAAUGGGCGCAAGCCUGAUGCAGCCAUUCCGCGUGUAUGAAGAGGGCCCUAGGGUUGUAAAGUACUUUCAGCCGGGAGGCGUUACCGACAGAAGAAGCACCGGCUAACUCCGUGCCAGCAGCCGCGGUAAUAC